rnacentral:rRNA from 1 species
AUAGCGUAUAUUAAAGUUGUUGCAGUUAAAAAGCUCGUAGUUGAACCUUGGGCCUGGUUGGUCGGUCCGCCUCACCGCAUGCACUGAUCCGACCGGGUCUUUCCUUCUGGGGAGCCGCAUGCCCUUCACUGGGUGUGUCGGGGAACCAGGACUUUUACAUUGAAAAAAUUAGAGUGUUCAAAGCAGGCCUAUGCCCGAAUACAUUAGCAUGGAAUAAUAAAAUAGGACGUGUGGUUCUAUUUUGUUGGUUUCUAGAGCCGCCGUAAUGAUUAAUAGGGAUAGUCGGGGGCAUCAGUAUUCCGUUGUCAGAGGUGAAAUUCUUGGAUUUACGGAAGACUAACUACUG